GAUGAACGCUGGCGGCGUGCCUAAUACAUGCAAGUCGAGCGAACGGACGAGAAGCUUGCUUCUCUGAUGUUAGCGGCGGACGGGUGAGUAACACGUGGAUAACCUACCUAUAAGACUGGGAUAACUUCGGGAAACCGGAGCUAAUACCGGAUAAUAUUUUGAACCGCAUGGUUCAAAAGUAAAAGACGGUCUUGCUGUCACUUAUAGAUGGAUCCGCGCUGCAUUAGCUAGUUGGUAAGGUAACGGCUUACCAAGGCAACGAUGCAUAGCCGACCUGAGAGGGUGAUAGGCCACACUGGAACUGAGACACGGUCCAGACUCAUACGGGAGGCAGCAGUAGGGAAUCUUCCGCAAUGGGCGAAAGCCUGACGGAGCAACGCCGCGUGAGUGAUGAAGGUCUUCGGAUCGUAAAACUCUGUUAUUAGGGAAGAACAUAUGUGUAAGUAACUGUGCACAUCUUGACGGUACCUAAUCAGAAAGCCACGGCUAACUACGUG
rnacentral:rRNA from 1 species